rnacentral:rRNA from 1 species
AAGGAUCAUUAUCGAGUUUUGAACGGGUUGUAGCUGGCCUCUCACGAGGCAUGUGCACGCCUGGCUCAUCCACUCUUAACCUCUGUGCACUUUAUGUAAGAGAAAAAAAUGGUGGAAGCUUCCAGGAUCUCGCGAGAGGUCUUCGGUUGAACAAGCCGUUUUUCUUUCUUAUGUUUUACUACAAACGCUUCAGUUAUAGAAUGUCAACUGUGUAUAACACAUUUAUAUACAACUUUCAGCAACGGAUCUCUUGGCUCUCGCAUCGAUGAAGAACGCAGCGAAAUGCGAUAAGUAAUGUGAAUUGCAGAAUUCAGUGAAUCAUCGAAUCUUUGAACGCACCUUGCACUCCUUGGUAUUCCGAGGAGUAUGCCUGUUUGAGUCUCAUGGUAUUCAACCCCUAAAUUUUUGUAAUGAAGGUUUAGCGGGCUUGGACUUGGAGGUUGUGUCGGCCCUUGUCGGUCGACUCCUCUGAAAUGCAUUAGCGUGAAUCUUACGGAUCGCCUUCAGUGUGAUAAUUAUCUGCGCUGUGGUGUUGAAGUAUUUAUGGUGUUCAUGCUUCGAACCGUCUCCUUGCCGAGACAAUCAUUUGACAAUCUGAGCUCAAAUCAGGUAGGACUACCCGCUGAACUUAAG